UUAAAUUCGGUUUGUUUUAGAAUUCCUACGCUUUACCUUAAACAAACUAUGGCAAAGCGUUUGGAUUCUGAAACGAAAAGAAU
rfam:Clunio marinus genome assembly, contig: CLTMA_superscaffold_48